rnacentral:rRNA from 1 species
GACGAACGCUGGCGGCGUGCUUAACACAUGCAAGUCGAACGGAAAGGCCCAGCUUGCUGGGUGCUCGAGUGGCGAACGGGCGAGUAACACGUGGGUGAUCUGCCUCUAACUUCGGGAUAAGCUUGGGAAACUGGGUCUAAUACCGGAUAGGACAAUCGUUUAGUGUCGGUUGUGGAAAGUUUUUUCGGUUAGGGAUGAGCCCGCGGCCUAUCAGCUUGUUGGUGGGGUAAUGGCCUACCAAGGCGUCGACGGGUAGCCGGCCUGAGAGGGUGGACGGCCACAUUGGGACUGAGAUGCGGCCCAGACUCCUACGGGAGGCAGCAGUGGGGAAUAUUGCACAAUGGGCGCAAGCCUGAUGCAGCGACGCCGCGUGGGGGAUGACGGCCUUCGGGUUGUAGACCUCUUUCGACAGGGACGAAGCUUUGGUGACGGUACCUGUAUAAGAAGCACCGGCUAACUACGUG